ACCGAUGAGGAAACGUCAGCACGCUGAGGGGUGAUGAUAAGGGACUUGACCGAGG
rnacentral:snoRNA from 1 species